GUGAAGCCCGGGAGUAGAAACCCUAGAAACCCAAAUUGGAGGCCAUGAAAUCGAAGCCGGAGGAGAAGGAUGGCGAUCGUUCGAAGAAGAAGGACGAAGAUAAGAGUGGAAUCUUUGCUUCUUGCUCCUUCUCUGAUAUUGGCCUCCAUCCCACCCUUUGUCAGCACCUCCAAGAGAGAAUGGGGUUUGAGGUUCCGACACAGAUCCAGGCGCAAGCGAUUCCGGUUGUGAUUUCGGGCCAGCAUGUCCUUGUGAAUGCCGCUACUGGCACGGGGAAGACGAUUGUGUACCUUGCGCCGAUUGUUCACUUGUUGCAGAUGUAUGAACCUCGGAUUGAACGCUCUCAUGGAACUUUUGCGUUGGUGCUUGUGCCAACGCGGGAAUUGUGUAUGCAGGUUUAUGAAAUUCUACAGAAGCUGCUACAUCGUUUCCAUUGGAUUGUUCCCGGGUAUAUCAUGGGUGGUGAGAAUCGAUCUAAAGAGAAAGCAAGGUUACGCAAAGGGAUAAAUAUUCUAAUUGCAACUCCUGGGCGCCUUUUGGAUCAUUUAAGGAAUACUUCUUCCUUUGCAUAUGAGAAAUUGCGCUGGAUAGUAUUUGAUGAGGCUGACAGGAUUCUUGAACUAGGUUUUGGAAAAGCAAUUGAAGAAAUACUUGAUAUUCUUGGUUCAAGGCAUGGCACUUUUGGUACAGGAGAGAAUACUACAGCAAAAACCUUCAAUGUUAAGAGGCAGAACUUACUUCUGUCAGCAACUUUAAAUGACAAGGUGAACCAGUUAGCUAAUAUCAGCUUAGAGAAUCCCAUAAUGGUUGGCUUGGAUAAGAAGAUUAGUUCAGAGCCCCCAAAGCCAUCCGUCAAAAAGAUUGCUUUUUUAGAAUCUGAUGAAGAAGAAAUUGCUGAACAUGUUGAUUUGGCAGCAAACGUUGGGGUUGAGAGUUACAAUCUUCCAACUCAAUUGAUUCAGAAAUGUGUCAAAGUGUCAUGUGGUCUACGGCUAGUGACUCUCCUCUCCAUUCUUAGGAGUUUACUGGAAAGGAUGUCAUCGCAGAAGAUUGUGGUUUUUCUUUCAACAUGUGAUGCAGUGGAUUUCCACUAUUCACUUCUCAGUGGUUUCCGCUGGGCUGCUAAUUUGCAAGCAACAGAAGAUCAAAAGCUAAAGUUUAUAGGCUGCAAAGUAAUUAGAUUACACGGGAACAUGCAGCAUGAGGACCGCAAGACAUCAUAUCAAAGCUUUAAUUCUGAAAAAUCAGCAUUGCUUUUAUGUACAGAUGUUGCUGCAAGGGGUUUAGAUUUUCCAAAAGUUCGAUGCAUUAUUCAGUAUGAUUCUCCAGGCGAGGCUUCUGAAUACGUGCAUAGGGUUGGAAGAACUGCUCGAUUGGGUGAAAAGGGAGAAGCCUUACUAUUCCUUCAACCUGUUGAAAUUGAUUAUUUGCAUGAUUUACAGAAACACGGAGUGUCAUUAAAAGAUUAUCCUCUGCAAAAGGUUUUAGAUAGUUUUCCAUUGCCUGGACAAAAACACAGUAAUAGGAAGUUGAUAUCUCUGGAGAUGCAUCCUUGGGUUCUAUUAUUGCAGAAGGCAGUAGAGUCUUUUCAUAUCAUCUGAGCUCAAGUUGAAACAACUGGCCAAGGAUGCAUUCUGCUCAUGGGUUCGUGCAUACGCUGCCCAUCGAGGUGAGCUGAAGAAGAUUUUCAUGGUUAAAAAACUCCACUUAGGGCAUGUUGCUAAAAGCUUCGGACUCAAAGAUCAGCCGUCUCUAGUCGGGAAGAUCAUUCAAAACUCAAGAGAAGAAGAGAAAGAGGGACCUGAGGCAACAUCCUAAGCCUUCCAAAAAACCAAGGCUUUCUGUAAAAGGUACUUGAAGGGAGGCACUUGGCAAACCAAACAAAUUGGCAACAUGUACCAGGAGAGGAAAAUUAGUUUGGUUUUGGUAUAACAAAUGGGAAACUAACCCAUGUAUAUGUUUGAAAGAAUUCCUCUUUUAUUACUAUUAUUUAAUUUUUUGUAUUUAGAUUGUAAUCAGAAUGAAUAUGGUGUUUACUGAUUACUAAGAA